AGUUCGGACUGCAGUCUGCAACUCGACUGCNCGAAGCUGGAAUCGCUAGUAAUCGCGGAUCAGCACGCCGCGGUGAAUACGUUCCCGGGCCUUGUACACACCGCCCGUCACACCAUGGAAGUCUGCAAUGCCCGAAGCCGGUGGCCUAACCACUUAUGUGGAAGGAGCCGUCUAAGGCAGGGCAGAUGACUGGGGUGAAGUCGUAACAAGGUAGC
rnacentral:rRNA from 1 species